AUACGGAGGACGCGAGCGUUAUCCGGAUUCAUUGGGUUUAAAGGGUGCGCAGGCGGCCGUGCAAGUCAGCGGUGAAAGCCCGGGGCUCAACCCCGGAAGUGCCGUUGAUACUGCAUGGCUGGAAUGCGGUCGAGGCGGGCGGGAAGUGGGGUGUAGGGGGGAAAAGCGUAGAUAUGCCACAGAACGCCGAUAGCGGAGGCAGCUCGCCAGGCCUGCAUUGACGCUCGGGCACGAAAGCGUGGGGAUCGAACAGGAUUAGAUACCCUGGUAGUCCACGCCGUAAACGAUGGGCGCUCGUCGUCGGCGGCAGACAGUCGGCGGCCAAGCGAAAGCGAUAAGCGCCCCACCUGGGGAGUACGGUCGCAAGGCUGAAACUCAAAUGAAUUGACGGGG
rnacentral:rRNA from 1 species